rnacentral:rRNA from 1 species
AGUGAACGCUGGCGGUAGGCCUAACACAUGCAAGUCGAACGGCAGCACAGUAAGAGCUUGCUCUUACGGGUGGCGAGUGGCGGACGGGUGAGGAAUACAUCGGAAUCUACUUUUUCGUGGGGGAUAACGUAGGGAAACUUACGCUAAUACCGAAUACGACCUACGGGUGAAAGCAGGGGAUCUUCGGACCUUGCGCGAUUGAAUGAGACGAUGUCGGAUUAGCUAGUUGGCGGGGUAAAGGCCCACCAAGGCGACGAUCCGUAGCUGGUCUGAGAGGAUGAUCAGCCACACUGGAACUGAGACACGGUCCAGACUCCUACGGGAGGCAGCAGUGGGGAAUAUUGGACAAUGGGCGCAAGCCUGAUCCAGCCAUACCGCGUGGGUGAAGAAGGCCUUCGGGUUGUAAAGCCCUUUUGUUGGGAAAGAAAAGCAGCAUGUUAAUACCCCGCUGUUCUGACGGUACCCAAAGAAUAAGCACCGGCUAACUUCGUG